GGCAUUUUGGGAUGUGCUUAGAACUUAUUAUGAUUUUUUUCCAUUAAAAAUAAUGAAAUAUAGGCUCCUGCUAUCUGGAAAUUUGCUAUCACUCUUUUUAGGAAUGAAAAAGUUUUGGCUAAUAAGAGAUGUCUAUACUUUCAUUAUCAAAAAUAUACAGAUGAAGAAGCAGAUCUCCAUUUCUGGAAGUACUCACUGCAGAGACAAAUGGAAAUGAGUCCACUCUAGGAAGAAGAAUAACUGGAAGCUUGAGCUGUGUAAAUGUGACUUGGAAAUGUGACUUCAGGAGAAAGAACCAGGUUUGACACUGUGGGCUAAUCUUAAACAGGGACAGUAAUUGGAGCAGAAUGGCCACAAAUGAGCCG
ensembl:lincRNA